UCUAGUGGCGGACGUGUGAGUAACGCGUGGGUAACCUGCCUUAUACAGGGGGAUAACAGUCAGAAAUGGCUGCUAAUACCGCAUAAGCGCACAGAGCUGCAUGGCUCAGUGUGAAAAACUCCGGUGGUAUAAGAUGGACCCGCGUUGGAUUAGCUGGUUGGUGGGGUAACGGCCCACCAAGGCGACGAUCCAUAGCCGGCCUGAGAGGGUGAACGGCCACAUUGGGACUGAGACACGGCCCAGACUCCUACGGGAGGCAGCAGUGGGGAAUAUUGCACAAUGGGGGAAACCCUGAUGCAGCGACGCCGCGUGAAGGAAGAAGUAUCUCGGUAUGUAAACUUCUAUCAGCAGGGAAGAUAGUGACGGUACCUGACUAAGAAGCCCCGGCUAACUACGUGCCAGCAGCCGCGGUAAAACGUAGGUCACAAGCGUUGUCCGGAAUUACUGGGUGUAAAGGGAGCGCAGGCGGGAAGACAAGUUGGAAGUGAAAUCUAUGGGCUCAACCCAUAAACUGCUUUCAAAACUGUUUUUCUUGAGUAGUGCAGAGGUAGGCGGAAUUCCCGGUGUAGCGGUGGAAUGCGUAGAUAUCGGGAGGAACACCAGUGGCGAAGGCGGCCUACUGGGCACCAACUGACGCUGAGGCUCGAAAGUGUGGGUAGCAAACAGGAUUAGAUACCCUGGUAGUCCACACCGUAAACGAUGAUUACUAGGUGUUGGAGGAUUGACCCCUUCAGUGCCGCAGUUAACACAAUAAGUAAUCCACCUGGGGAGUACGACCGCAAGGUUGAAACUCAAAGGAAUUGACGGGGGCCCGCACAAGCAGUGGAGUAUGUGGUUUAAUUCGACGCAACGCGAAGAACCUUACCAAGUCUUGACAUCCCUUGACAGGCAUAGAAAUAUGUUUUCUCUUCGGAGCAAGGAGACAGGUGGUGCAUGGUUGUCGUCAGCUCGUGUCGUGAGAUGUUGGGUUAAGUCCCGCAACGAGCGCAACCCUUAUGGUCAGUUACUACGCAAGAGGACUCUGGCCAGACUGCCGUUGACAAAACGGAGGAAGGUGGGGAUGACGUCAAAUCAUCAUGCCCUUUAUGACUUGGGCUACACACGUACUACAAUGGCGUUAAACAAAGAGAAGCAAGACCGCGAGGUGGAGCAAAACUCAGAAACAACGUCCCAGUUCGGACUGCAGGCUGCAACUCGCCUGCACGAAGUCGGAAUUGCUAGUAAUCGUGGAUCAGCAUGCCACGGUGAAUACGUUCCCGGGCCUUGCACACACCGCCCGUCA
rnacentral:rRNA from 1 species